UUGCAAACAAGAUCACUAGCACAGCAUGAUGAUGUUGCUGAAGCAAGGGGAACAUGUUUGCUAAAAUAAGCAUUGUCCUAGAAGAGCCUGGUCCUCAGCAAUGUGAAUGUGACCUUCGCUUCUAUGCCAAUACAUUU